UGUGGACUUGGUAUGGGUUAAUUUUUUUUUUUUGGAGUUUAGUUUGAGGAACUUCUACUAGCCUUUUUUCUGGCAAUGUCAUUAAGAUCCCUCUGGCUGUGACAUGGCAACCCUGGAAAUGUAACUUUUCGGUGGUGGAUAUGGGCAUUUUUGUUAAAGGCCUGGGUGCAAGUGAAGCCUAAAAAUGAAUGAUUACAUUAAGGCCAUGGUGCAGGAUGCUACAGCACUCCAGCAGCUGGCUGUAAUGCCACAUGAACAGGAUCAGCUUCUUGAAGAAGAGUGGAAAUGCACCCACCACUGCUUACAGUUAAAGAUGCAGAACACUGCUGUGGAAAAAGUGAUGGUGGUGAUGUAGGAGCUUUCCCAUCUGUGCUAGCCACUGCCUGCAGAAAAUGACUGCUAUGGAGGAGGUAGAGGCAUAUUUGUCUCUUUGAAAACUCAUUGGUAAGAGCAAUAGCCUCUAGCCCGGUGGGACUUAAGUUUAAAAGAGCAGAAGGUCUACAAUGACCUCACAGCUGCUGAGGCCUGUGAUUAAUGGUGACUAAAGGUAGAAAGGAAUCAUGCCUGCCAUACAUGCUCGGUCCUUCCAGCCUGGGUUGGCACUUGGAUCCCAAUUGCUCAAUUUCAUUUAAGAAAGUGGCUUCAGCCUGAGGUUGACCAUGCAGCCAGGUGGAGUCAACAGUCCAGUCAUUUUCUGAGAUGGCCUUUGCCAUAGAAGCUACCGUAUAGCCACAGAACCUAGACUGAUGUGGGGAGGCCGAACAGAAGAGGAUAAACGUGGAGGAUACCAAAGAUUGGGAACAAGGGAUUUGAAGAGAAAUAUCCCCUUGACAUGGAAGUACAAGCCUGGCUUUGACCUACAGGGUUUCUUGGUUAAGAACUGUGGCAUAAGGUCACCUUUGGCAGCUGAUGCUGGCUGGUGUUGCCAAGGUUUGAGGCCGGCCCUGUGAGCUGCCAGGGUGGAGAGUAACCCAAUGGAUUCUGUGCACUCCUAGCCCAUGUCUGAAGUGAGCCACUAGGGGGCAACAGGACUCACCACUGCUUCCCACAUCAUCCGCAGAGCACCAGUCUGGUUGAGCCAAGCAGACAAGCAGUCCUCCUUCUCAGGCUCCCAAGGACAUGGGCAGGCAGAUGGUGGUUCAAUUAUAUCAUAAUUCUACACUACACAUACAGUAAUUCAACACAGAAUAAUGAACUUUAUUUAUAUAUAAAUAAUGAACUCUGCUUUUCCUUCAGAACAGAACAAAAUUCACCAUUGGACACAUGUCUUCUGUAAGACAUUGUAUUUAUAAAACAAUUACUUGGCUUGUUAUUUUUUUUUAUUAGGUCUCACUUGUUCUUUUUUACUUCACAUUUAUUUGGUCUUAUGCAUGUCAAUCCUUUGUCAGAAUGGACUGUUCCUAAUGUGUAUAUACUGUAGGAUGUCACUUCUUGUGAAUAAAAAACACAGAAUCAGCAUGUCUGAUAGUCUACCACCAGUGCU